UACAGAGGGUGCAAGCGUUAAUCGGAAUUACUGGGCGUAAAGGGUGCGUAGGUGGUUGAGUAAGUUGGAUGUGAAAUGCCUGGGCUUAACCUGGGAUCUGCAUACAAAACUGCUCGGCUAGAGUAAGGUAGAGGGAAGUGGAAUUUCCGGUGUAGCGGUGAAAUGCGUAGAUAUCGGAAGGAACACCAGUGGCGAAGGCGGCUUCCUGGACCAUUACUGACACUGAGGCACGAAAGCGUGGGGAGCAAACAGGAUUAGAUACCCUGGUAGUCCACGCUGUAAACGAUGAGAACUAGAGGUAGGAACGUCAGUUUCUGUCUCGCAGCUAACGCGAUAAGUUCUCCGCCUGGGGAGUACGGCCGCAAGGUUAAA
rnacentral:rRNA from 1 species